UACAGAGGUCUCAAGCGUUGUUCGGAUUCAUUGGGCGUAAAGGGUGUGUAGGUGGCGCGCUAAGUCGGGUGUGAAAUUUCGGAGCUUAACUCCGAAACUGCAUUCGAUACUGGCAGGCUUGAAUCCGGGAGAGGGAUGUGGAAUUCCAGGUGUAGCGGUGAAAUGCGUAGAUAUCUGGAGGAACACCGGUGGCGAAGGCGGCAUCCUGGACAGGUAUUGACGCUGAGGCGCGAAGGCCAGGGGAGCAAACGGG
rnacentral:rRNA from 1 species